CCUACGGGUGGCAGCAGUGAGGAAUAUUGGUCAAUGGGCGAGAGCCUGAACCAGCCAAGUAGCGUGAAGGAUGACUGCCCUACGGGUUGUAAACUUCGUUUAUAAAGGAAUAAAGUGAGGCACGUGUGCCUUUUUGUAUGUACUUUAUGAAUAAGGAUCGGGUAACUCCGGGCCAGCAGCCGCGGUAAUACGGAGGAUCCGAGGGUUAACCGGAAUUAAUGGGUUUAAAGGGAGCGUAGGUGGGUUGUUAAGUCAGUUGUGAAAGUUUGCGGCUCAACCGUAAAAUUGCAUUUGAUACUGGCAGCCUUGAGUACAGUAGAGGUAGGCGGAAUUCGUGGUGUAGCGGUGAAAUGCUUAGAUAUCACGAAGAACUCCGAUUGCGAAGGCAGCCUACUAGACUGCCACUGACAUUGAUGCUCGAAAGUGUGGGUAUCAAACAGGAUUAGAUACCCCAGUAGUC
rnacentral:rRNA from 1 species